rnacentral:rRNA from 1 species
AUCCACACGACUCUCGGCAACGAAUAUCUCGGCUCUCGCAUCGAUGAAGAACGUAGCGAAAUGCGAUACUUGGUGUGAAUUGCAGAAUCCCGCGAACCAUCGAGUCUUUGAACGCAAGUUGCGCCCGAGGCCUCUUGGCCGAGGGCACGCCUGCUUGGGCGUC